rnacentral:rRNA from 1 species
ACUAAGUUUCAACAACGGAUCUCUUGCCUCUCGCAUCGAUGAAGAACGCAGCGAAAUGCGAUAAGUAAUGUGAAUUGCAGAAUUCAGUGAAUCAUCGAAUCUUUGAACGCACCUUGCGCUCCUUGGUAUUCCUUGGAGCAUGCCUGUUUGAGUAUCAUGAAAU